UACGUAGGGUGCGAGCGUUUGUCCGGAAUUAUUGGGCGUAAAGAGCUUGUAGGCGGUUUGUCGCGUCUGCCGUGAAAAUUCGAGGCUCAACCUCGAACUUGCGGUGGGUACGGGCAGACUAGAGUGUGGUAGGGGAGACUGGAAUUCCUGGUGUAGCGGUGGAAUGCGCAGAUAUCAGGAGGAACACCAAUAGCGAAGGCAGCUCGCUGGGACGGUACUGACGCUAAGGUGCGAAAGCGUGGGGAGCGAACAGG
rnacentral:rRNA from 1 species